GAUGAACGCUGGCGGCGUGCUUAACACAUGCAAGUCGAACGGGAUCCCAGGGGUUCUUGCCCUUUUUGGUGAGAGUGGCUAACGGGUGAGUAACACGUGAGUAACCUGUCCUUUUCUUUGGGAUAAGCAUUCGAAAGGGUGUUUAAUACCUUAUUUUCUGUCUGCCUCGUAUGGGGUGGUUGGGAAAGCCUUUUGCCGGGUUUGGGUGGGCUCGCGGUCUAUCUGCUUGUUGGUGGGGUGAUGGCUUACCGAGGCUCUGACGGGUAGCCGGCCUGUGAGGGGGGUGGGUGAGAGGGGGACUGGGAUAAGGGGCAGAGAGCUGCGGGAGGCAGCAGUGGGGGAUGUUGCACAAUGGGAGAAAGCCUGAUGGAGGGAAGCCGGGUGGAGGAUGAAGGCGUUAGGGGUGUAGGCUUCUGUUGAUCUGAGCACGGCAUGCCAGUGGGUGUGUGAAGUGAAGGGGUUAAUAAGCGCCGGCUAACUACGUG
rnacentral:rRNA from 1 species